GACGUAGGGGGCAAGCGUUGUCCGGAAUCAUUGGGCGUAAAGCGCUCGUAGGUGGAUCGGUAAGUCUGCAAAGAAAGACCCGGGCUCAACUCGGGGAACGGUGUGGAUACUACCGAUCUUGAGGCAAUCAGAGGAUGAUGGAAUUCCCGGUGUAGCGGUGAAAUGCGUAGAUAUUCGGAAGAACACCAGUGGCGAAGGCGGCUCACUGGCCCGUUACCGACGCUCAGGCGCGACGGCGUGGGGAGCAAACAGG
rnacentral:rRNA from 1 species